ACGGGUGAGUAAUACAUCGGAACGUGUCCUGUAGUGGGGGAUAGCCCGGCGAAAGCCGGAUUAAUACCGCAUACGCUCUACGGAGGAAAGGGGGGGAUCUUAGGACCUCCCGCUACAGGGGCGGCCGAUGGCAGAUUAGCUAGUUGGUGGGGUAAAGGCCUACCAAGGCGACGAUCUGUAGCUGGUCUGAGAGGACGACCAGCCACACUGGGACUGAGACACGGCCCAGACUCCUACGGGAGGCAGCAGUGGGGAAUUUUGGACAAUGGGGGCAACCCUGAUCCAGCAAUGCCGCGUGUGUGAAGAAGGCCUUCGGGUUGUAAAGCACUUUUGUCCGGAAAGAAAACGCCGUGGUUAAUACCCGUGGCGGAUGACGGUACCGGAAGAAUAAGCACCGGCUAACUACGUGCCAGCAGCCGCGGUAAUACGUAGGGUGCAAGCGUUAAUCGGAAUUACUGGGCGUAAAGCGUGCGCAGGCGGUCCGCUAAGACAGAUGUGAAAUCCCCGGGCUUAACCUGGGAACUGCAUUUGUGACUGGCGGGCUAGAGUAUGGCAGAGGGGGGUAGAAUUCCACGUGUAGCA
rnacentral:rRNA from 1 species